rnacentral:rRNA from 1 species
CAAGUCGAGCGCACCUUCGGGUGAGCGGCGGACGGGUUAGUAACGCGUGGGAACAUACCCUUUUCUACGGAAUAGCCUCGGGAAACUGAGAGUAAUACCGUAUAAGCCCUUCGGGGGAAAGAUUUAUCGGGAAAGGAUUGGCCCGCGUUAGAUUAGAUAGUUGGUGGGGUAAUGGCCUACCAAGUCUACGAUCUAUAGCUGGUUUUAGAGGAUGAUCAGCAACACUGGGACUGAGACACGGCCCAGACUCC